AUGAGCGCGAGCUCAUUGGAUUGGUGCAGGCGGUGCGUCAUUGGCGGCCCUAUCUGUGGGGUCGGUCUUUCCGGAUUCGCACGGGACCAUUACAGCCUCAAGUUCUUGUUGGACCAGAGGUUGUCGACCGUGCCGCAGCACCUGUGGAUCAGUAAGCUCUUCGGCUUCGACUUCUCCGUCGAGUAUCGUCCGGGCCGCCUUAACACCGUUGCCUACGCCCUGUCUCGUCGUGACGUCGACACCGCCGUCGAUGACUCUGAGGGGGCGGCGCUCUGCAUCCGCUCGGGGCCCUCUUUCGUCCUCUUCGCCGACAUCCGUCGGGCGACCGCGGCCGCGCCGGACACGCUCCUCCUUCAGCAGCAGCUGGCUGCGGGUGAGCUGGAGGAGCCGUGGCGCCUCGCCGACGGGUUGCUCCUACAUGGGCGUCGGGUCUUCGUGCCGGCGCACGAUGAUCUCCAUCACCAGGUGCUGCUGUUGGCCCACUCGGCGAGCCAUGAGGGUGUGCAGAAAACCCUCCAUCUUCUCCGAGCAGACUUCUACAUUCCAGGUGAUCGGGCCCUGGUCCGCAACUGGGUGCGGUCUUGUGUGACGUGCCAGCGUAACAAGGAGACAAUGCGGCCGGUUGGUCUGCUCCAGCCCUUGGAGGUGUCAUCUCAGGUCUGGGCAGAUAUUUCCAUGGACUUCAUCGAGGGCCUCCCCAAGGUGGGCGGCAAAUCGGUCAUUCUCACGGUGGUUGACCGCUUCUCCAAGUAUGCUCACUUCGACGCGCUCGGCCAUCCCUACAUUGCGGCGUUCGUAGCCCGGGCCUUCUUCGACGGUAUCGUCCGCCUCCACGGGUUUCCCUCUUCGAUCGUCAGCGAUCGGGACCCGGUGUUCACGGGGCAUGUCUGGCGCGAUCUCUUCCGGAUGGCGGGCGUGAAGCUCCGCCUGAGCACGGCCUUCCACCCUUAG
rnacentral:rRNA from 1 species